rnacentral:rRNA from 1 species
GUAGUUGACUCGUCGCUCGAGAUAGACGCGUCGGCGGCGUGACUUAACACAUGACAAGUCGAACGAUAGAACUCAGCGUUGCGUGGGGGAUUAGUGGCGAACGGGUGAGUAACACGUGAGCAACCUGCCCCGGACUCUGGGAUAAGCGCUGGAAACGGCGUCUAAUACUGGAUAUGAAUCACAGUCGCAUGGCUAGUGGUUGGAAAGAUUUUUUGGUCUGGGAUGGGCUCGCGGCCUAUCAGCUUGUUGGUGAGGUAAUGGCUCACCAAGGCGUCGACGGGUAGCCGGCCUGAGAGGGUGACCGGCCACACUGGGACUGAGACACGGCCCAGACUCCUACGGGAGGCAGCAGUGGGGAAUAUUGCACAAUGGGCGGAAGCCUGAUGCAGCAACGCCGCGUGAGGGACGACGGCCUUCGGGUUGUAAACCUCUUUUAGCAAGGAAGAAGCGAAAGUGACGGUACUUGCAGAAAAAGCGCCGGCUAACUACGUG